rnacentral:rRNA from 1 species
GGUUUCUGCGAAGUCGCAAGACGAUGUAUAGGGGCUGACGCCGGCCCGGUGCUGGAAGGUUAAGUGGAUCUGUUAGAGUAAUCGAAGCAGGGAACUGAAGCCCCAGUAACCGGCGGCCUUAACUAUCACGGUCCGAAGGUAGCGAAGUGCCUUGUCGGGUAAGUGCCGACCCGCACGAAAGGCGUAACGAUUUGGGCACUGUCUCAACAACCGACUCGGUGAAAUUGUAAUUCCGGUGAAGAUGCCGGAUACCGGCGACAGGCCGGAACGACCCCAUGGAGCUUUACUGUAGCUUGACAUUGGGUCUUGGUACUACAUGUACAGGCUAGGUGGGAGGCUUUGAAACCAGGCCGCCAGUUUUGGCGUAGCCAUCCUUGGGAUACCACCCUUGUAGUACGGGGACUCUA